CGGCGAGUGAGCGGCAAAAGCUCAAAUUUGAAAUCUGGCGCCUUCGGUGUCCGAGUUGUAAUUUGAAGAUUGUAACCUUGGGGUUGGCUCUUGUCUAUGUUUCUUGGAACAGGACGUCACAGAGGGUGAGAAUCCCGUGCGAUGAGAUGCCCAAUUCUAUGUAAGGUGCUUUCGAAGAGUCGAGUUGUUUGGGAAUGCAGCUCUAAGUGGGUGGUAAAUUCCAUCUAAAGCUAAAUAUUGGCGAGAGACCGAUAGCGAACAAGUACAGUGAUGGAAAGAUGAAAAGAACUUUGAAAAGAGAGUGAAAAAGUACGUGAAAUUGUUGAAAGGGAAGGGUUUGAGAUCAGACUCGAUAUUUUGUGAGCCUUGCCUUCGUGGCGGGGUGACCCGCAGCUUAUCGGGCCAGCAUCGGUUUGGGCGGUAGGAUAAUGGCGUAGGAAUGUGACUUUACUUCGGUGAAGUGUUAUAGCCUGCGUUGAUGCUGCCUGCCUAGACCGAGGACUGCGAUUUUAUCAAGGAUGCUGGCAUAAUGAUCCCAAACCGCCCGUCUUGAAAC
rnacentral:rRNA from 1 species